rnacentral:rRNA from 1 species
GACGAACGCUGGCGGCGUGCUUAACACAUGCAAGUCGAGCGGUAAGGCCCUUUCGGGGUACGACAGCGGCGAACGGGUGAGUAACACGUGGGUGACCUGCCCUUAGCUCUGGGAUAAGCCUGGGAAACGUGGGUCUAAUACCGGAUAUGACUCCAUGACGCAUGUUGUGGGGUGGAAANCCUUGUGCGGCUAGGGAUGGGCCCGCGGCCUAUCAGCUUGUUGGUGGGGUGAAUGGCCUACCAAGGGCGACGACGGGUAGCCGGCCUGAGAGGGC